AAAGCAUAGAGUGUGCUUUCAUCUUCCCACUACAUUUUUUUUUUUUUUUAGUUUAAGCUAUCAGACGGUGACCGAGAAAAGUGAAACAGGCUCUCUUUGAAGAUGACUAAUUGUUUCAGCUGUUUGGACUCUCAUUCUGACAGCACCCAUUCACUGCAGAGGAUUCAUUGGUGAGCAAGUGAUGUGAUGUUAUACUUCUACAAAUCUGUUCUGACAAAGAAACAAACUCAUCUACAUCUUGGAAGGCCUGAGGAUUUUCUUCACAUUUAGAUGAUGACCACAUUGUGCAGAGAGUCUGACUGAUGCCGUCUCCAAAAAUAGAGCAUUGGGAGCGUCCGCUACAGAAGAUAGAUGUUCUCAGUUUGACAGACUCAGAGGAAAUAAAUGUGUUGCCUGAGCACAUUUAAGAUUCGUUGCAUGCCCAAGUUUAUUUCCCAAAUGUUUUGUUCUCUUCCAAUACGGUUUAAUAAAAAUGCACUGACUGAAUCUAUCAAGUGGGCACCGCAAUAAUUAUAGGUCAAGUUCAAUUUCCAGGCUAACUGUUAAAAAACAAACUUGUUUCAGGGACCUUUUGUUAAAGGCACAGCAUUCUGUUGAAACCUGUGGAGUCCAAUCUGGUUUUGUAAAUUUGACCUCCAAAAACGUAUUUGGAUAGGAAAUGAAAUGCAAAAUGAGGAACUGUAAUUGUGAGCUGAUUACCUUGUUUCAAAAAUUUAUAAAUAAUUGAACCUACAAAGAAAUAAUGGAGAAUGACAAUGGCAACAUGCGUUAUUCAUGA